UAGGGAAUCUUCCGCAAUGGACGCAAGUCUGACGGAGCAACGCCGCGUGAGUGAAGAAGGAUUUCGGUUCGUAAAACUCUGUUGUCAGAGAAGAACAGCGCAUAGAGUAACUGUUAUGCGUGUGACGGUAUCUAACCAGAAAGCCACGGCUAACUACGUGCCAGCAGCCGCGGUAAUACGUAGGUGGCAAGCGUUGUCCGGAUUUAUUGGGCGUAAAGCGAGCGCAGGCGGUCAAUUAAGUCUGAUGUGAAAGCCCCCGGCUCAACCGGAGAGGGUCAUUGGAAACUGGUUGACUUGAGUGCGGAAGGGGGGGGUGGAAUUCCAUGUGUAGCGGUGAAAUGCGUAGAUAUAUGGAAGAACACAAGUGGCGAAGGCGACUAUCUCGUCUGUAACUGACGCUGAGGCUCGAAAGCGUGGGUAGCAAACAGG
rnacentral:rRNA from 1 species